rnacentral:rRNA from 1 species
UAAGGAAUAUUGCGCAAUGGGCGAAAGCCUGACGGAGCGACACCGCGUGCAGGACGAAGGCCCUCGGGUUGUAAACUGCUGUCACGCUCUAGGAAUCCCGUGUUGUGAAUAGCAGCACGGUUGACUAAGGCGAGAGGAAGUGGCGGCUAACUCUGUGCCAGCAGCCGCGGUAAGACAGAGGCCACGAACGUUGUUCGGAAUCACUGGGCAUAAAGCGCACGUAGGCGGCUAGGUCCGUCCGAUGUGAAAGCCCCCGGCUCAACCGGGGAAUAGCAUCGGAUACAGCCUGGCUUGAGGACGGUUGGGGUGAGUGGAACUCCUGGUGGAGCGGUGAAAUGCGUAGAUAUCAGGAGGAACACCGGUGGCGAAAGCGGCUCACUGGACCGUUACUGACGCUGAGGUGCGAAAGCUAGGGGAGCAAACAGGAUUAGAUACCCAUGUAGUCCCUGAGCGGGCUGGCAAGGCGCAU